rnacentral:rRNA from 1 species
UACGUAGGAUGCAAGCGUUGUCCGGAAUUAUUGGGCGUAAAGAGCGCGCAGGCGGUCUAUCAAGUCAGAUGUGAAAUAUCCCGGCUUAACCGGGGGGGGUCAUUUGAAACUGGUAGACUAGAGUACAGCAGAGGAUAGUGGAAUUCCCGGUGUAGUGGUGAAAUGCGUAGAUAUCGGGAGGAACACCAGUGGCGAAGGCGACUAUCUGGGCUGAAACUGACGCUGAGGCGCGAAGGCUAGGGGAGCAAACAGG